AAUAAUCUAUUUCCUCUCAUGUGGAAAUACUGAAAGACGGUUUCGGCUGUCGCUAUAAGAUGGGCCCGCGGCGCAUUAGCUAGUUGGUGAGGUAACGGCUCACCAAGGCAACGAUGCGUAGCCGACCUGAGAGGGUGAUCGGCCACACUGGGACUGAGACACGGCCCAGACUCCUACGGGAGGCAGCAGUAGGGAAUCUUCCACAAUGGGCGAAAGCCUGAUGGAGCAACGCCGCGUGAGUGAAGAAGGAUUUCGGUUCGUAAAACUCUGUUGUAAGGGAAGAACAAGUACAGUAGUAACUGGCUGUACCUUGACGGUACCUUAUUAGAAAGCCACGGCUAACUACGUGCCAGCAGCCGCGGUAAUACGUAGGUGGCAAGCGUUGUCCGGAAUUAUUGGGCGUAAAGCGCGCGCAGGUGGUUCCUUAAGUCUGAUGUGAAAGCCCACGGCUCAACCGUGGAGGGUCAUUGGAAACUGGGGAACUUGAGUGCAGAAGAGGAUAGUGGAAUUCCAAGUG
rnacentral:rRNA from 1 species